CGGCGGCGUUGCUGUUUGCAAUGUUAGUGUUGGUGCUGGCAGGGUCUCUGGAAGCAGAAGAAAAAAAGUCAAACACUUCAUGAUCCUGCCAUUGAGGCAACCAUGGGGCAGUGGCAUGAGCAAGAGAACUAACAGAUCCCAAAUGCGAGUCCCACUAUCAGGAUAUUUUGUACGCUUCUAGAUGCCUUUGGUUUUUUUUUUGGAGUGUGCGCCCGCUCUUUGGUUACCGGCCCGACGCACCUUUCCGGGGGGAAAGGGGUGAUGCUGUGUCGGAUCAGUGCCAGCGCUCACCUUGGCUUGUGGGGGGGUCCCAGCCUCCACGGCACUGCCACGACUGCAGCGGGGAGCCCGAGCGGGGCCGGCAGGCAGUUCCUUCCCCGAGGAACGGGGACAGAAAAAUUAAAAAAAGAAAAAAAAAAAAAAAAAAAAG